UAUUGAACUACGCGACACACGGAAUACCUGGAUACAUACAUGUCACUGGAUAAUUCCGUGGCUUUCUUCUCCGUAUCGUGAUUUGAUCCGACUGUGGUUCUACUCAAUCGACGGUGCUGGCCGUUUGAUUCUUUACAAGGAGGUCAACGAUUAUCGGGUAGAAUGGAUGACGGGUUGCAACAUAGAAUAUACAUAAUGUCGCCGUUGCUGUGUAAACGUUUUCAAAUAUACCGGUGGGAUGAAGGAGUAUGACGACUUGUCGCAGCAAUUGUGUAACAAUCACGUAAUGCGUGUAUUCACUGUACAUACAUACAUCGAUUACAUAUGAUACCAACAGUCAUGUACGUACAUGUGUGAUAAACUAUGCUGCAUAAAAAUCUUGUCGCUCUUUCAUAUAACUAGUAAAAACGAAACGGUAAAAUUUAUUUGAACUAUAUUUUCCGCAUCUGAAUAUUACAUUUUUAUUAUAUGAAUACCAAAUUGGUAUUGUAUUGUCGUUGAAAAAGAUGAAUGAAAAAAUUUAAACAGAUCAAGAGCAUAAUGUAUGUACAUUAUAACAAUGAAAUAGUGCGACAUGGGCUGAUCAAUUGACAAUCGAAGAUUGCUAUAAAAAAAAAACAGCAUUGUGUCGGACAAAAGUAAAUUGAUAAUCGAAAUAACUGCAAGAAUUCCCGCCCGAUGAUGACCUUU